rnacentral:rRNA from 1 species
UAGGACCUACGGGGUGCAGCAGUGAGGAAUAUUGGUCAAUGGUCGGGAGACUGAACCAGCCAAGCCGCGUGAGGGAUGAAGGUACAGAGUAUCGUAAACCUCUUUUGUCAGGGAACAAAGGCGGGGACGUGUCCCCGGAUGAGUGUACCUGAAGAAAAAGCAUCGGCUAACUCCGUGCCAGCAGCCGCGGUAAUACGGAGGAUGCGAGCGUUAUCCGGAUUUAUUGGGUUUAAAGGGUGCGCAGGCGGCCUGUUAAGUCAGCGGUAAAAGCCCGGGGCUCAACCCCGGCGAGCCGUUGAAACUGG